ensembl:lncRNA
CCUGAACCACACCCACAUGCAGGUACGCCCUGAACCACACACAGGUAUGCCCUGAACCACACCCACACACAGGUAUGCCCUGAACCACACCCACACACAGGUACACCUGAACCACACCCACACACAGGUACGCCUGAACCACACCCACACACAGGUACGCCCUGAAACACACCCACAUGCAGGUACGCCCUGAACCACACCCACACACAGGUACGCCCUGAACCACACCCACACAGGGCUAUAAUAAAUUACAUUAAUGUAUAAUCUGUAGUCAUUGUUUGAGUUUUUUAUUGUCAUUGUAUUCUUGUUAUUAAUAGUGCUAACAGUUUUGCGUGUGCUUGUGUAUGUUGCGUGUGUGUACAUACGUGUGUGUGUGCGUGUGUUUGCAUGCUUGUGUACAUACGCUUGUGUGUGUGUGU